AAUGAACGUUGGCGGCGUGGAUUAGGCAUGCAAGUCGAGCGCGAACCCCGCAAGGGGUAAAGCGGCGAAAGGGAGAGUAACGCGUGGGUAUCUGCCCUCGGGACUGGGAUAGCUGCGGGAAACUGCAGGUAAUACCAGAUGACGUCCCCGGACCAAAGGUGUGAUUCCGCCUGAGGAUGAGCCCGCGUCCUAUUAGCUAGUUGGUAGGGUAAUGGCCUACCAAGGCAAUGAUGGGUACUGGGUGUGAGAGCACGACCCAGCUCACUGGGACUGAGACACUGCCCAGACACCUACGGGUGGCUGCAGUCGAGAAUCUUCGGCAAUGGGCGAAAACCUGACCGAGCGACGCCGCGUGUGGGAUGAAGGCCUUCGGGUUGUAAACCGCUGUCAGAGGGGAGGAAUGGGCGGAGGGUAAUCUCUUCGAUUUGACCUAUCCUCAGAGGAAGUACGGGCUAAGUUCGUGCCAGCAGCCGCAGUAA
rnacentral:rRNA from 1 species